rnacentral:rRNA from 1 species
GACGAACGCUGGCGGCGUGCUUAACACAUGCAAGUCGAACGGAAAGGCCCUGCUUGCAGGGUCCUCGAGUGGCGAACGGGUGAGUAACACGUGGGUGAUCUGCCCUGCACUUCGGGAUAAGCCUGGGCAACUGGGUCUAAUACCGGAUAGGAGCCAUUUUUAGUGUGAUGGUUGGAAAGUUUUUUCGGUGUAGGAUGAGCUCGCGGCCUAUCAGCUUGUUGGUGGGGUAAUGGCCUACCAAGGCGGCGAGGGGUAGCCGGCCGGAGAGGGUGGACGGCCACAUUGGGACUGAGGUACGGCCCAGACUCCUACGGGAGGCAGCAGUGGGGAAUAUUGAACAAUGGGCGCAAGCCUGAUGCAGCGACGCCGCGUGGGGGAUGACGGCCUUCGGGUUGUAAACUCCUUUCGCUAGGGACGAAGCUUUUUGUGACGGUACCUAGAGAAGAAGCACCGGCUAACUACGUG